GACGAACCGUGCGAACGUUGUCCGGAAUCACUGGGCUUAAAGGGCGCGUAGGCGGGCUCGCCAGUCUGCGGUGAAAGCCCCCAGCUUAACUGGGGAAGUGCCGUGGAUACUGCGAGUCUCGAGGAGGGUAGGGGCAUCUGGAACGGUCGGUGGAGCGGUGAAAUGCGUUGAUAUCGACCGGAACUCCGGUGGCGAAGGCGAGGUGCUGGACCCUUUCUGACGCUGAUGCGCGAAAGCCAGGGGAGCAAACGGG
rnacentral:rRNA from 1 species